UGCUAUGAUGAUUCAUAAGACUAGAGUCUCUGACUACACCAUGAAGCUCUUUCACAGUGCACUGAACA
rnacentral:snoRNA from 1 species